UACGGAGGGGGCUAGCGUUGUUCGGAAUUACUGGGCGUAAAGCGCGCGUAGGCGGACCUGCAAGUCGGGGGUGAAAGCCCGAGGCUCAACCUCGGAACUGCCUUCGAUACUGCGGGUCUCGAGUCCGGGAGAGGUGAGUGGAAUUCCUAGUGUAGAGGUGAAAUGCGCAGAUAUCAGGAAGAACACCUAUGGCGAAGGCAGCACUCUGGGACGGUACUGACGCUGAGACGCGAAAGCGUGGGGAGCGAACAGG
rnacentral:rRNA from 1 species